rnacentral:lncRNA from 1 species
AAUAAGCCUGAGAUGUAUAUAGAAAUACAAAUGAACUGAUGUAUAUAAAAAUACAAUAAUCUCUGUGUAUGAAAAAUACAAUAACUGCUGUGGGAGUUUCUCUAACCGACAACCAUCACAUAAGAGCUAUAGUGAUGAUACAGCGAUCGACCUCACGCUGCCAGAGCAUCCUAUUCCCGGCCAAAGGUAUAGGACCUGAACUGCC